rnacentral:rRNA from 1 species
AUUGAACGCUGGCGGAAUGCUUUACACAUGCAAGUCGAACGGCAGCACGGGGCAACCUGGUGGCGAGUGGCGAACGGGUGAGUAAUACAUCGGAACGUGCCCAAUCGUGGGGGAUAACGUAGCGAAAGUUACGCUAAUACCGCAUACGAUCUACGGAUGAAAGCGGGGGAUCGCAAGACCUCGCGCGAAUGGAGCGGCCGAUGUCAGAUUAGGUAGUUGGUGGGGUAAAGGCUCACCAAGCCGACGAUCUGUAGCUGGUCUGAGAGGACGACCAGCCACACUGGGACUGAGACACGGCCCAGACUCCUACGGGAGGCAGCAGUGGGGGAAUUUUGGACAAUGGGCGCAAGCCUGAUCCAGCCAUUCCGCGUGCAGGAUGAAGGCCUCGGUUGUAACGUAGUCGUUUUCGUUUACGGGUAACGGUAAACCGGGUUAACCGUUACGUU